AUCACCUCCUGGCUGGCCCAAUGGUUCCCCAAAACCCCAGCCAAGUCCGUGGUGGCCCUAAAAACACCCAUCAAGGUGGAGCUGGUGGCUGGGAAAACCUACAAGUGGUGUGUGUGUGGCCACAGCAAAAAGUAGUCCUCUGUGAUGGCUCCCACUUCUUCAAAUGCCCUGGACUAUCCCCACUGAAGUUCAAGGCCCAGGAGACCUGCAUGGUGGCACGCUGUACCUGCAAGGCCACCCAGAAGCCCCCAUACUGCGAUGGUACCCACAAGAGUGAACUGGUGCAAAAGGCAGAACUGGGCUCUCCACUC
rnacentral:lncRNA from 1 species